rnacentral:rRNA from 1 species
UACGUAGGGUGCGAGCGUUGUCCGGAUUUAUUGGGCGUAAAGAGCUCGUAGGCGGCUCGUCGCGUCGUCCGUGAAAACCCGCGGCUUAACCGCGGGCUUGCGGUUGAUACGGGCGGGCUAGAGUUCGGUAGGGGAGUCUGGAAUUCCUGGUGUAGCGGUGAAAUGCGCAGAUAUCUGGAGGAACACCGGUGGCGAAGGCGGCAUCCUGGACCGAGAUUGACGCUGAGGCGCGAAAGCCAGGGGAGCAAACGGG